GGAGAUGGAUGAGUCCUGGUGGGCUCCGCGGUCUUCAAAACCGUUGUGAGGCGUGGAGAACGUCUUGGGUGUGUUCGAUUCGCACACAUCUCCGCCA
rnacentral:tRNA from 1 species